rnacentral:rRNA from 1 species
CCUACGGGAGGCAGCAGUAAGGAAUAUUGGUCAAUGGACGAAAGUCUGAACCAGCCAUGCCGCGUGAAGGAUGAAGGUCCUCUGGAUUGUAAACUUCUUUUAUCUGGGACGAAAAAAGGGCUUUCUAGCUCACUUGACGGUACCAGAGGAAUAAGCACCGGCUAACUCCGUGCCAGCAGCCGCGGUAAUACGGAGGGUGCAAGCGUUAUCCGGAUUUACUGGGUUUAAAGGGAGCGUAGGUGGGCAGGUAAGUCAGUGGUGAAAUCUCUGGGCUUAACCCGGAAACUGCCAUUGAUACUAUCUGUCUUGAAUAUCCUGGAGGUAAGCGGAAUAUGUCAUGUAGCGGUGAAAUGCUUAGAUAUGACAUAGAACACCCAUUGCGAAGGCAGCUUACUACGGGAUUAUUGACACUGAGGCUCGAAAGCGUGGGGAUCAAACAGGAUUAGAUACCCUGGUAGUCCACGCCCUAAACGAUGGAUACUCGACAUCAGCGAUACACUGUUGGUGUCUGAGCGAAAGCAUUAAGUAUCCCACCUGGAAGUACGACCGCAAGGUUGAAACUCAAAUGAAUUGACGGCUGAGACGAGACGACGACGACGACGAGGGAGGAGG